rnacentral:rRNA from 1 species
UACGGAGGGUGCAAGCGUUAUCCGGAAUUACUGGGUUUAAAGGGUGCGUAGGCGGCUUGAUAAGUCAGGUGUGAAAGCCUAUCGCUUAACGAUAGAAUUGCCUUAGAUACUGUAAAGCUUGAAAGGGGUUGAGGUCAGCAGAAUGUGGCAUGUAGCGGUGAAAUGCAUAGAUAUUCCAUAGAACACCGAUGGCGAAGGCUGCUGGCGGGGCCUACUUUGACGCUGAGGCACGAAAGCGUGGGGAGCGAACAGG